GAGGUUCAACUCUUCACUGGGGUUCUUCAGGCUUCAGGGGAGGAGCUCGAAAUCGAUAACAGCUUACCAUCUGGAAGGAAGUCUCAAUUCACUUAAAUGCACCUAAAGGAGCGAGGAUACGGGAGGCAUGCCGGAGGAGCAGUGAGCGUUAAUACAGAGGUGAGAGACAAAAGUAGAGGAGGCGAGGAAAAGAACUGAUGUCCAAACAGAAGUGAGAAAAGCCUCCUGUCCACAGCUACUUCCUCACUAACCUCACCGUCGUGCAUUGCCAUUCUCCAUCCAUCCACCAGAUGCCCUCAGACUUCCCCACCUGUCCCAGUCACCUGACUCUCUCAUUCACCUGCUAACCUGUUUCCAUUUCCCCCCAUCAGCCCUUGACACUCAUUCCCUGUCAGUUUCUUGCUUUGUGCCUUCCUAUGCAGCCAUCUGGACCUGGAUGUGGACCUGGAUCUGAACCUGAACCAAACUUUUACCGGCCUACCUCGUCACAACAGCAGCAGGGAUGACUGAAAUAAAGAGAAAGAAGAAUUAAGAAAAAGGUAAGGGGGGAAGGGAUUUCACAA